AUUGAACGCUGGCGGCAUGCCUUACACAUGCAAGUCGAACGGUAACGCGGGGGCAACCCUGGCGACGAGUGGCGAACGGGUGAGUAAUGCAUCGGAACGUACCCGGAAGUGGGGGAUAACGUAGCGAAAGUUACGCUAAUACCGCAUAUUCUGUGAGCAGGAAAGCAGGGGAUCGCAAGACCUUGCGCUUUCGGAGCGGCCGAUGUCGGAUUAGCUAGUUGGUGGGGUAAAGGCCUACCAAGGCGACGAUCCGUAGCGGGUCUGAGAGGAUGAUCCGCCACACUGGGACUGAGACACGGCCCAGACUCCUACGGGAGGCAGCAGUGGGGAAUAUUGGACAAUGGGCGGAAGCCUGAUCCAGCAACGCCGCGUGAGGGAUGACGGCCUUCGGGUUGUAAACCUCUUUCAGCACAGGCGAAGCUGCCAUCACGUGUGGUGGUGGUGACGGUAUGUGCAGAAGAAGCACCGGCCAACUACGUGCCAGCCGCCGCUGUAA
rnacentral:rRNA from 1 species